GACGAACGCUGGCGGCGUGCUUAACACAUGCAAGUCGAACGGUAAGGCCCUUCGGGGUACACGAGUGGCGAACGGGUGAGUAACACGUGGGUGAUCUGCCCUGCACUUCGGGAUAAGCCUGGGAAACUGGGGCUAAUACCGGAUAGGACCCUGGGAUGCAUGUCCUGGGGGUGAAUGCUUUUGCGGUGUGGGAUGGGCCCGCGGCCUCUCAGCUUGUUGGUGGGGUGAUGGCCUACCAAGGCGACGACGGGUAGCCGGCCUGAGAGGGUGACCGGCCACACUGGGACUGAGAUACGGCCCAGACUCCUACGGGAGGCAGCAGUGGGGAAUAUUGCACAAUGGGCGCAAGCCUGAUGCAGCGACGCCGCGUGAGGGAUGACGGCCUUCGGGUUGUAAACCUCUUUCAGCACCGACGAAGCGCAAGUGACGGUAGGUGCAGAAGAAGGACCGGCCAACUACGUGCCAGCCGCCGCCGUAA
rnacentral:rRNA from 1 species